rnacentral:rRNA from 1 species
AAGAUCUAAAAAUAUGUAAGUUUUAGUUACUCAUAUAAUAUUGUUGCAUUAAUAUAUUAAAACAUGUUUUUAGGGGUGAAAGACCUUCACUUUUACUGAUAUCUGGAUAAAUAUAAAAUAAAUUUAGUUUAAAAUAUAGUUACAGUGUGAUAAGAUAUUGUAAAUAGAAAUUUUUGUAGUAUUUCAAUAUUAUUGUUAUUGAUUAAUCCUUAACAACAAAUAUUUUAAAGUAAAUUAUUUAAUACUGACUAUUCUCUACUAAUAUUUUAUUUUACUAUCCUAUUAGUUAAAAUAGAUAAUGUAUAAAUUAGUAUAUAUAAUAAAUUUAAUUGAAGGAAUUCGGCAAAUAGCUUAUACGACUGUUUAUCAAAACCAUAGCCAAUAGAUAUUUAAUUAUUGGUUUGACUUGCCCAGUGAGAUUUUAACGGCCGCAGUACCCUGACUGUGCAAAGGUAGCAUAAUCAUUUGGCUUUUAAUUGAAGUCUGUUU